rnacentral:rRNA from 1 species
CGAGGUAGAGCAAAUCUCAAAAAGACAUCUCAGUUCAGAUUGCAGGCUGCAACUCGCCUGCAUGAAGUCGGAAUUGCUAGUAAUCGCAGAUCAGCAUGCUGCGGUGAAUACGUUCCCGGGCCUUGUACACACCGCCCGUCACACCAUGGGAGUCGGUAACACCCGAAGUCGGUAGCCUAACCGUAAGGAGGGCGCCGCCGAAGGUGGGAUUGAUGACUGGGGUGAAGUCGUAACAAGGUAUC